GCUAACGUAGCUUACCUAAAGCGUAACACUGAAGAUGUUAAGACGAACCCUAGAAAGUUCCGGAAGCA
rnacentral:tRNA from 1 species